AACAGCAGCAAGAGGUAGUUAUGAGACACACCCUUCUCAGAGAUAAGUGCAGCAGCCCCACAAAGCCUCCUUACCUCGCUAAAGGAACCUACAAGGAAAUGGGAGGAUUUAUUUGAGAAGGAGCUCAGAAGGUAUAAGAAACAGACAGUUACUCAAAGAAGCAAGGGACAAGCACUUCUUCACAUUGGGGAGAUCAAGUCAGGAGACAUAAGAUGAACCUGUUCACCCAGCAAACUGUGAUACUUUGGCUCCGUGUUGCUGUCACGCUCAGCAACACAGAGCCAACGGCAGAGCUGGUGAAGCUAAGCACUGUUGACUCUCUGAUUGUGCCAUGUCACCAGAGUGUUACCCUCCAAUGCAGAAUCUCCACCUUCGAGGAGGGGCUGUCAAUCUAUCAUCUGGCCUGGGUCCUCCAGGACGGGAAGUACCUGUGUGAUGUUAAUGCGACUGGAGUGAUGAGGACCCACCCAGGGAACACACCUAGUGCCAUGGAGUGUAGUUAUACCCCACAGACACAGCUGUCCCUGACUCUGCUGCAGGUACAGCCACUGGAGCAGGGAAAGUACUUGUGCAAGCUGCGCUCCAAUCAUGGAGUAAAGGAGACCACUACAACGGUGAAGCUGCAAGAGUGCUACAGGGAGGCCCAGCCCAGCAUCAGUGAUGAGGGCCCAACCUGCACCUUCACUGAGGUCUACCCUGACGGAGAGGUGCACUGGUUCCAGGGACCCAACAAUGUGACUGGGGACCCUAAAAUCAAAACUAAACAAGUGAAGGAUGGAAAGUUUUUGACAAUAACUAGUUCCCUGAAUAGAAAGACCGUCUCUGGGGAAGGGGCCUACAACUGCUCCCUGUGGAUCCCCAGUACCGGAGCCUACCUGACCAGCAGCUUGGUACCAGAGCAUGGUGAAGCCAGGGUUGAGGGGCCCAAUGCCAACGGGGCAGGGGCCAUUGGUUCUGUGUGGAAAACCUUUCUAGUCCUCCUGAGUACUCUCUUCCUGGUGUGA
rnacentral:lncRNA from 8 species